CUCAGACGGCUGAGUCACUGCAUCCCGGCGCGGCCCGCAGAAGACGAGCGCCGCCGCCGCCUCCUCCUCCUGGGCUCCCGGGCUCUCGGGGUCCGGGGCCUUUGCACCUGUCUUUUCCAGCUGGGCACAAAGCCUUUUGCUGUCGCCGUGGCGACUGGAGGCCUUCACUUUUAAUCCCCCUCAUUUUCCAGUUCAUUCUCUGCUUAUUUUCUGGUCAGUCCGUGACCCUGUAGGCGGCCUCGGACCGGCGAUCGAUUUGCCGCCCUCAGGGCGCUGGGCGGCCGGCUGCCUCCGAAGCUGGGGCGGCCUCCGCGGUCUCCAUGGUAACGGCCUCUCCGGCGUCUCCGCCUAGAGGGGAAGAUGCGGCCUGCCUGGCCCGCCGCCUCGCCCCCGGCCUCACGGUGGGACCCCGGGCACUGAGGACGAAGGUCCCGGGCGCCGGCCCGCGGGGCAACGGGCACUAGGUGAGAGCCGGACGCCGGCGAGCGAAGGAGGCGGGUGCCGGGCGACUCCAGCGGCGGCCCCUGCCCCUCCCCCGCACCCACGAACACGCUCGCCCGAUAUAUUGCAGAGGCUUCUCCGGUCGCCGCUGCGCCAGUUUUUUUUUGUUUGUUUGUUGUGUUUUCCCUGGCAAACAGCUGGAGAAAGAGCAGCUCAUGGAGAGGCUGAGAGAAGCGGUUUUCGCGUCCUACCCAAACUGGGAGAGUAACCUUCAGCAGCUGGACUCACCGAUUGGUUUUCCUUCAUUUUCAGUGAAAUCCCAUUUUCUGGCUGGAGACACAGAUGGCCUCAAAUGAGAGAGAUGCUAUAUCGUGGUACCAAAAGAAGAUUGGAGCCUACGAUCAGCAGAUAUGGGAAAAGUCAAUCGAACAGACUCAGAUUAAGAAGACCGGAUUGAAGCUUGCUCUCUGGAGAGGCUGAGCCAGAGAAGUUCUGGAUUCUGGAAGACCAGA
rnacentral:sRNA from 1 species